AGAGUUUGAUCCUGGCUCAGGAUGAACGCUAGCGGCAAGCUAACACAUGCAAGUCGAACGGUAACUUUUGGUGCUUGCACCGAAAGACGAGUGGCGAACGGGUGCGUAACGCGUAUGCAAUCUGCCUUUUACUAGGGUAUAGCCCAGAGAAAUUUGGAUUAAUCCCCUAUAAUAUCAUUUAAUCGCAUGAUUUUAUGAUUAAAGCUUCGGCGGUAAAAGAUGAGCAUGCGUCCUAUUAGUUAGUAGGUGAGGUAACGGCUCACCUAGACUCCGAUAGGUAGGGGUCCUGAGAGGGAGAUCCCCCACACUGGUACUGAGACACGGACCAGACUCCUACGGGAGGCAGCAGUGAGGAAUAUUGGACAAUGGACGAAAGUCUGAUCCAGCUAUGCCGCGUGCAGGAUGACGGCCCUAUGGGUUGUAAACUGCUUUUAUACAGGAAGAAAAACUCCGACGUGUCGGAACUUGACGGUACUGUAAGAAUAAGGAUCGGCUAACUCCGUGCCAGCAGCCGCGGUAAUACGGAGGAUCCAAGCGUUAUCCGGAAUCAUUGGGUUUAAAGGGUCCGUAGGCGGUUUUUUAAGUCAGAGGUGAAAUCCUGCAGCUCAACUGUAGAAUUGCCUUUGAUACUGAAAGACUUGAGUUAUUGUGAAGUGGUUAGAAUGUGUGGUGUAGCGGUGAAAUGCAUAGAUAUCACACAGAAUACCAAUUGCGAAGGCAGAUCACUAACAAUAUACUGACGCUCAGGGACGAAAGCGUGGGUAGCGAACAGGAUUAGAUACCCUGGUAGUCCACGCCGUAAACGAUGGAUACUAGCUGUAUGUCUACUUCAGGUAGAUGUGUGGCUAAGCGAAAGUGAUAAGUAUCCCACCUGGGGAGUACGAUCGCAAGAUUGAAACUUAAAGGAAUUGACGG
rnacentral:rRNA from 1 species